UUUCCCGGUGAUCUUUGGUCCGGGGACUCAUGCCCCUGUGUGAGUCCUUCUCCUGUGGCAGAGAUGAUGGGCUUCCUGUCUCAUUCCUCACAGCAGAGGUGAUGGGAUGCCACCCUGAGACUGAAUGAGGAGACUGAUCUCAGCCAUGGCUUUUCUCUCUGGCUUGUUCAUUCUGAUGAAGCCAGCAGCCAUGUUGGGAGUCCCCUGUGGAAACAUCUAGGAGAUUGGAUGCUGGCUGCCUGAAGAUGGCAACUGAGCCUUGACCUUAAAGGACACUUGAGAUUCUCCAGGGAUGCACACAAGGCCACGGAGACCGACCAUGUUCAACAGCCCACCUGGAAGCACAAGAGGACACAGGCCACCAACCCCCAGCCCACGAGCACCCAAACCACCUGUCUCUCGUGGAUUUCAAUGACAGCCUCUGUCUGGAAUUCAAAUG